rnacentral:lncRNA from 1 species
GUUGUGUGAAAUUGAGAGUUUUGUAUUGACGGAUGUUCAGAGAGGGAGAGAAACAUUGUUUUCAUUUUGUGCACUGAACCAUAGCCAUUGUCGACGAUGCCGAGUUCAAAAGCAACCAAACGCAUCAAACGAUUAGUCUUCCCCCUUCUUCCAAAUCUAAAUGGCCAUCUCCACCCUACAUUCUCCCUGUCAGCUCUUUCUUCUCUUUUUCACUCUCUCUUCCACCACCAUUGCCGACGACC